rnacentral:rRNA from 1 species
UGCCAGCAGCCGCGGUAAAACGUAGGAGCCAAGCGUUAUCCGAAUUCACUGGGCGUAAAGCGUGUGCAGGCGGAGUGAUAAGUUGGAUGUGAAAUCUCCUGGCUCAACUGGGAGAGGCCGUUCAAUACUGUCAAUCUCGAGGGCAACAGAGGGAGGUGGAAUUCCCGGUGUAGUGGUGAAAUGCGUAGAUAUCGGGAGGAACACCAGUGGCGAAAGCGGCCUCCUGGGUUGCACCUGACGCUCAGACACGAAAGCUAGGGGAGCGAACGGGAUUAGAAACCCCGGUAGUCCUAGCCGUAAACGAUGUAGACUGGGUGUUGGAGGGGUAAAAGCCUUCAGUGCCGGAGCCAACGCGAUAAGUCUACCGCCUGGGGACUACGGCCGCAAGGUUAAAACUCAAAUAAAUUGACGGC